UCCGAGUUGUAAUUUGUAGAGGAUGUUUCGGGCACCGCUCCGGUUUAAAUUUCUUGGAACAGAAUGUCAAAGAGGGUGAGAACCCCGUCUUGGACCGGCAGUAGGGCCCAUGUGAAACUCCUUCGACGAGUCGAGUUGUUUGGGAAUGCAGCUCAAAAUGGGUGGUAAAUUUCAUCUAAAGCUAAAUAUUGGCCAGAGACCGAUAGCGCACAAGUAGAGUGAUCGAAAGAUGAAAAGCACUUUGAAAAGAGAGUUAAACAGUACGUGAAAUUGUUGAAAGGGAAGCGCUUGCAACCAGACUUGCGCGCGGCGGUUCCCCCUUCCUUUUGGUUGGGUUAUUCCGCCGUGUCCAGGCCAACAUCGGUUCUGGGGGUCGGUUAAAGGCCUGGGGAAUGUAUCUACCCUUCGGGCGUAGACUUAUAGCCCCGGGUGUCAUGCGACCUCCCGGGACCGAGGAACGCGCUUCGGCUCGGAUGUUGGCGUAAUGGUUGUCAGCGACCCGUCUUGA
rnacentral:rRNA from 1 species